GUCAACUGCAAUGGCCACGAAUCUGAGCUCACACAGUGUGGCCACAGAGGACUGUGGACCCACUACUGUUAUCACCAUGAGGACGCUGGAGUUGUCUGUGAAGCUCCCUCUCCAGUGAGACUGGUCAACGCUCUCUCCAACAACUCCUGUUCAGGCAGGGUGUAGGUCUUCCUCCAGGGCCAGUGGGGCACAGUUUGUGAUGAUGAAUGGGACCUGAAUGAUGCCCAGGUGGUUUGUACACAGCUGGGGUGUGGCAGUGCCAUGUCAGCCACCAACGAGGCAUAUUUUGGACCGGGAACAGGACCCAUCUGGUUGGACGAUGUCAACUGUGGAGGAAAUGAACCGACAAUAACCGACUGUGAACAUCAAGGGUUUGGUUCUCAGAACUGCAAACACGUUCAAGACGCUGGCAUCAUCUGUGAUGGUAUUCCUGACAAUAAAAAAUUUAUCAUCCUCUGUCGGUCGGCCUUCGUCAUUCCUAUCAUCAUUCUGAUAAUCUUUUAUUGCUGGAGGAAAAAGAAGCAUCAUACAGAAAACCUCAAUUCUGAACAGAGUCCGAACUGUGACCAAGCUGCCGCCAUCUAUAUGAAUGAGAGUCUGUUAGGACCCCCUCCUCUCCCUUUGGAGCCCACUGACAUAGAACUCAACCCCAUAAGCACCUAGGAGGCUCUAUGGGAGAUAUUGGCUGUAGGUUUAAACUUCUGCUGCUCCUGAGAUGAACCCCGGUUACUGAGCUGACUCCAAGUGGAUCCCUUAAUAUAAUUCCAAAAUCACUUAUGUUGCUUCUUUGUCAUUUGACGCAUGCUUAUCGUCUUAGUAGAAGGGAUUGUCAUUGUUCUCGUGCAUGUCACAUCUUUAUGUUAACCCAUACAUGUGGCAUAGAGGAUUGAUUCCUGUGAUUAUACGUGGAUACAUUAAUCAAGGUUGUGUUUGUCACACAUGGCCCGAUGCAUCGGGUGUUGUGAUUGGCCAAUGAUUGUAAGAGGGAUCCAGAUGUUUUGGGAACAUAACAUGAAGCCUGAGUCCUUUGCAAACCAACUUAUGUUUUGUGCUUUUGUCUUCAUCUUUCAAACUUCAGCUUUCUCAACCUCUAUUAUUUAUGUUAAAGUGUCGUGUUUAUCCAUGAAAGCGGCUGGUUCAAUCCCUGGUUACUGUUGUAAAGGUGUCCUUGGGAAAGAUCCUGGUAUCUUUAUGCUUUAAAUGU
ensembl:lncRNA